AUACAGUGUAGUGAUUCAUUUGGAACCAAAGGCCUUGGAUUUUUGCUGGAUGAGAAAGAGUUCAUGUGAGCACUUUUACAAAAGCAUCAUCAAAAAAGAGGGAUUGCAGAGAGGAAAAUGACAGAGCAAACUGGAUGGUCGACUGGGCUUGACUAAAGAAAAGUCCAAACAAAUUAGGAGUACACUAAUGAUCUGGCCCAAAGCUAAGCAGUACAAAUGACAACAAAAGUUCAUGAGACCAUGGGGAAAUUCAUGCAAUUCUGUGCAGUUGAUGGACAUGAAAGAGCUGGAGGAUGCAGAGGUGCACUGUGGAAUGCUGUCCUGUGGACAUGUCUUGGCUACCACGUGCCUGAAUUACAGUGCCCGUGGUUACAGGUACAC
rnacentral:lncRNA from 1 species